GGGGACGUGGCGGAAUUGGCAUACGCAGCGGACUUAAAAUCCGCCGGCCUCGGUCUUGUGGGUUCGAGUCCCACCGUCCCUA
rnacentral:tRNA from 1 species